GAUUAAGUUAUUAAGGGCGCACGGUGGAUGCCUUGGCACUAGAAGCCGAUGAAGGACGUUACUAACGACGAUAUGCUUUGGGGAGCUGUAAGUAAGCUUUGAUCCAGAGAUUUCCGAAUGGGGAAACCCAGCAUGAGUUAUGUCAUGUUAUCGAUAUGUGAAUACAUAGCAUAUCAGAAGGCACACCCGGAGAACUGAAACAUCUUAGUACCCGGAGGAAGAGAAAGAAAAUUCGAUUCCCUUAGUAGCGGCGAGCGAAACGGGAAGAGCCCAAACCAACAAGCUUGCUUGUUGGGGUUGUAGGACACUCUAUACGGAGUUACAAAGGACGACAUUAGACGAAUCAUAUGGAAAGAUGAAUCAAAGAAGGUAAUAAUCCUGUAGUCGAAAAUGUUGUCUCUCUUGAGUGGAUCCUGAGUACGACGGAGCACGUGAAAUUCCGUCGGAAUCUGGGAGGACCAUCUCCUAAGGCUAAAUACUCUCUAGUGACCGAUA
rnacentral:rRNA from 1 species